AUUGAACGCUGGCGGCAUGCUUUACACAUGCAAGUCGAACGGUAACAGGCCGCAAGGUGCUGACGAGUGGCGAACGGGUGAGUAAUGUAUCGGAACGUGCCCAGUCGUGGGGGAUAACGCAGCGAAAGCUGCGCUAAUACCGCAUCUGAUCUAUGGAUGAGAGCGGGGGACCGUAAGGCCUCGCGCGGUUGGAGCGGCCGAUAUCAGAUUAGGUAGUUGGUGGGGGAAAGGCUCACCAAGCCAACGAUCUGUAGCCGGUCUGAGAGGACGACCAGCCACACUGGGACUGAGACACGACCCAGACUCCUACGGGAGGCAGCAGUGGGGAAUUUUGGACAAUGGGCGCAAGCCUGAUCCAGCAAUGCCGCGUGCAGGAAGAAGGCCUUCGGGUUGUAAACUGCUUUUGUACGGAACGAAACGGUCUGGGUUAAUACCUCGGGCUAGUGACGGUACCGUAAGAAUAAGCACCGGCUAACUACGUGCCAGCCGCCGCCGUAA
rnacentral:rRNA from 1 species